AGCCCUCCCCCAAUUACUACACCACCCACUCCCACCCUACCCCGCCGACGCAUGGGCCCGUUCCGCUCGGAGGACCACACGGCAGCGACUCCGCGCGAGCACAUGGCCGGUCGCGCCCGUUCCCUCGCCCGCUCCCCCCGCGGUUAUUUCUACCGGGCCGAGCCGCGCUUGGAGAGGGCAGAGUCGAGCCAGUAGAGAGACGGACUAGACUAGACCAGAUCUCGUAGCGGGGUCUCCGGCCGCCUCCCCCUCCCGGGGCCAGCACGCCCUGCCGUCCGCCGGCGGCCUGCUCGGUCGUCGGUGAGUCCGUGCAGCGGCCCGAAGAGGCGCGUGCUCGCUCCAAGGGCGAAGGGGGACGCGCCGGAUCUCGCGGGGCAAGUGCGCCAGCGACCUGAGGUACCUUGGUAUGGAAUGAAGUGAAGAGCGCAGAGUAUCUUGGUCUUACUAAUCAAUGCAUCAUAUUAUGUGCGCAAUAAGAUUUUGCUAUGCUUUCACCGUCGAUGCCCACUGGUUGGAUCAUGCUUCUGUUUAUGAGCUCAUUGAAGUAACUCUCUCGUAGCUCAAAUGGGCCAAUUCCUCAUUUGCGUGGCACACAAAACCUUCAGCUAUCCAUCUCCAUAUCAGUUGGUCUCUCUUAAUUUUGUAAUCUUCUGGAAAUAUGCUUAAGUAUAAUAAAUGAUGUGAAGGUAGAUCAUAGAACAUCAACACAAUUCUUAAUCUAAAACAAGAUGGUGUAGCCUAGUUUUUGUGAUUUAACACAAAUAGGAGGGCACCCAUGCACCAAUACCAUGAAAAGCAGCAAAGAAAAUGAGUAAAAGAGGCACCUGACUUGUAGAUUAUACAAGAGUGAUGAUCUGGAAGUCAACCCUCUUUUACCAGUAGUUUGAUCUACCUUCUCAUCUAUAGGAUUAGUUAUUAUGUCUAAGCAUGUUUUUAGAAGAUUAGAAGAUUAAGCAAGCUCAUUCGAUAUGUAAGGUGGAUAGUUUGAGGUUUUGUUUAUCAUGAAAAACAAGGGAUUAGCAAGUUUGAGCUCGGUGGUAGAAUUGCUCAAUGAGAUCGUGAAUAGGAGCAUGAUUCAACCAAUUGACAUCAAUGUUGAUAAAGGCAUGGAAAAAUCUUAUCGUAUACAUGAUAUGGUGAUUGAUUUCAUAUGCUGAAGAAAAACACUUCUGUGGCAUGGAGUGAAAGCGGUCUAUCCAAAGGCAAGAUGUGAAGAUUAUCCAUCUGAAAGAGCAUGACAGGUAGCAGCGAUGUGACAAUGAGGUCUCUUGCAAUUGUUGAUUCAGUGUAGCUUAUGUUGAAUUUUCCAAGUUCUACAUGCGCUGGAUUAGAAUAUUGUGCUGCAUGUCUCUAUUCUUUGCAAUCACAAUGAUUCACAAAUAUUGUGUUUGCCUUCUUGUUCUGAUUCGUCUUCUUCAAUGACAUGAAUCACCCAUUGUAUUUGUACCCAUUGAUGCUGAAUUAUAGUCGUGAAUCUCUGGUGUAUUUGUACCCACUUAUUUUUUUUUGUAAGUAUUUGUACCCACUUAUGCUGAAUUAUAUUGUCACUUAGGCAAGAAGCAUCUAAGUUUCUGUGUGGCUC